UACAGAGGAGCCAAGCGUUUGUUCGGAAUUACUGGGCGUAAAGCGCACGUAGGCGGGUCGUUUAAGUCAGGGGUGAAAUCCCAGAGCUCAACUCUGGAACUGCCUUUGAUACUGGCGACCUAGAGUUCGGAAGAGGUUAGUGGAAUUCCCAGUUGUAGAGGUGAAAUUCGUAGAUAUUGGGAAGAAUACCAGUGGCGAAGGCGGCUAACUGGUCCGAUACUGACGCUGAGGCACGAAAGCG
rnacentral:rRNA from 1 species